UCCAGAGGUGCUUCCUCCAUUUCAUCAUCUUCCAUGGCUGCAGCAUGUGGAGGUCACACAGCAGAGAUGAACGACGAUGUAGAGGGUCUCGCUGCACCGGUGGAGGUCACACAGCAGAGAUGAACGACGAUGUAGAGGGUCUCGCUGCACCGGUGGUGGUCACACAGCAGAGAUGAACGAUGAUGUAGACGUUGUAGAGGGUCUCGCUGCACCGGUGGUGGUCACACAGCAGAGAUGAACGAUGAUGUAGAGGGUCUCGCUGCACCGGUGGAGGUCAAACAGCAGAGAUGAACGACGAUGUAGAGGGUCUCGCUGCACCGGUGGUGGUCACACAGCAGAGAUGAACGACGAUGUAGAGGGUCUCGCUGCACCGGUGGUGGUCAAACAGCAGAGAUGAACGACGAUGUAGAGGGUCUCGCUGCACCGGUGGUGGUCACACAGCAGAGAUGAACGACGAUGUAGAGGGUCUCGCUGCACCGGUGGUGGUCAAACAGCAGAGAUGAACGACGAUGUAGAGGGUCUCGCUGCACCGGUGGUGGUCACACAGCAGAGAUGAACGACGAUGUAGAGGGUCUCGCUGCACCGGUGGAGGUCACACAGCAGAGAUUAACGACGAUGUAGACGUUGUAGAGGGUCUCGCUGCACCGGUGGUGGUCAUACAGCAGAGAUGAACGACGAUGUAGAGGGUCUCGCUGCACCGGUGGUGGUCACACAGCAGAGAUGAACGACGAUGUAGAGGGUCUCGCUGCACCGGUGGUGGUCACACAGCAGAGAUGAACGACGAUGUAGAGGGUCUCGCUGCACCGGUGGUGGUCACACAGCAGAGAUGAACGACGAUGUAGAGGGUCUCGCUGCACCGGUGGAGGUCACACAGCAGAGAUGAACGACGAUGUAGAGGGUCUCGCUGCACCGGUGGAGGUCACACAGCAGAGAUGAACGACGAUGUAGAGGGUCUCGCUGCACCGGUGGAGGUCACACAGCAGAGAUGAACGACGAUGUAGAGGGUCUCGCUGCACCGGUGGAGGUCACACAGCAGAGAUGAACGACGAUGUAGAGGGUCUCGCUGCACCGGUGGAGGUCACACAGCAGAGAUGAACGACGAUGUAGAGGGUCUCGCUGCACCGGUGGUGGUCAAACAGCAGAGAUGAACGGCGAUGUAGAGGGUCUCGCUGCACCAGGUAGUGGUCACACAGCAGAGAUGAACGACGAUGUAGAGGGUCUCGCUGCACCGGUGGUGGUCAAACAGCAGAGAUGAACGACGAUGUAGAGGGUCUCGCUGCACCGGUGGUGGUCACACAGCAGAGAUGAACGACGAUGUAGAGGGUCUCGCUGCACCGGUGGUGGUCACACAGCAGAGAUGAACGACGAUGUAGAGGGUCUCGCUGCACCGGUGGAGGUCACACAGCAGAGAUGAACGACGAUGUAGAGGGUCUCGCUGCACCGGUGGUGGUCAAACAGCAGAGAUGAACGACGAUGUAGAGGGUCUCGCUGCACCGGUGGUGGUCACACAGCAGAGAUGAACGACGAUGUAGAGGGUCUCGCUGCACCGGUGGUGGUCACACAGCAGAGAUGAACGACGAUGUAGAGGGUCUCGCUGCACCGGUGGAGGUCACACAGCAGAGAUGAACGACGAUGUAGAGGGUCUCGCUGCACCGGUGGUGGUCACACAGCAGAGAUGAACGACGAUGUAGAGGGUCUCGCUGCACCGGUGGUGGUCACACAGCAGAGAUGAACGACGAUGUAGAGGAUCUAGCUGCACCGGUGGAGGUCAAACAGCAGAGAUGAACGACGAUGUAGAGGGUCUCGCUGCACCGGUGGUGGUCACACAGCAGAGAUGAACGACGUUGUAGAGGGUCUCGCUGCACCGGUGGUGGUCACACAGCAGAGAUGAACGACGAUGUAGACGUUGUAGAGGGUCUCGCUGCACCGGUGGUGGUCACACAGCAGAGAUGAACGACGAUGUAGAGGGUCUCGCUGCACCGGUGGAGGUCACACAGCAGAGAUGAACGACGAUGUAGAGGGUCUCGCUGCACCGGUGGUGGUCACGCAGCAGAGAUGAACGACGAUGUAGAGGGUCUCGCUGCACCGGUGGAGGUCACACAGCAGAGAUGAACGACGAUGUAGACGUUGUAGAGGGUCUCGCUGCACCGGUGGAGGUCACACAGCAGAGAUGAACGACGAUGUAGAGGGUCUCGCUGCACCGGUGGAGGUCAAACAGCAGAGAUGAACGACGAUGUAGAGGGUCUCGCUGCACCGGUGGAGGUCAAACAGCAGAGAUGAACGACGAUGUAGAGGGUCUCGCUGCACCGGUGGUGGUCAAACAGCAGAGAUGAACGACGAUGUAGAGGGUCUCGCUGCACCGGUGGUGGUCAAACAGCAGAGAUGAACGACGAUGUAGAGGGUCUCGCUGCACCGGUGGUGGUCACACAGCAGAGAUGAACGACGAUGUAGAGGGUCUCGCUGCACCGGUGGUGGUCACACAGCAGAGAUGAACGACGAUGUAGAGGGUCUCGCUGCACCGGUGGAGGUCACACAGCAGAGAUGAACGACGAUGUAGAGGGUCUCGCUGCACCGGUGGUGGUCACGCAGCAGAGAUGAACGACGAUGUAGAGGGUCUCGCUGCACCGGUGGAGGUCACACAGCAGAGAUGAACGACGAUGUAGAGGGUCUCGCUGCACCGGUGGAGGUCACACAGCAGAGAUGAACGACGAUGUAGAGGGUCUCGCUGCACCGGUGGAGGUCACACAGCAGAGAUGAACGACGAUGUAGAGGGUCUCGCUGCACCGGUGGUGGUCACACAGCAGAGAUGAACGACGAUGUAGAGGGUCUCGCUGCACCGGUGGUGGUCACACAGCAGAGAUGAACGACGAUGUAGACGUUGUAGAGGGUCUCGCUGCACCGGUGGUGGUCACACAGCAGAGAUGAACGACGAUGUAGAGGGUCUCGCUGCACCGGUGGAGGUCACACAGCAGAGAUGAACGACGAUGUAGAGGGUCUCGCUGCACCGGUGGUGGUCACACAGCAGAGAUGAACGACGAUGUAGAGGGUCUCGCUGCACCGGUGGAGGUCACACAGCAGAGAUGAACGACGAUGUAGAGGGUCUCGCUGCACCGGUGGUGGUCACACAGCAGAGAUGAACGACGUUGUAGAGGGUCUCGCUGCACCGGUGGUGGUCACACAGCAGAGAUGAACGACGAUGUAGACGUUGUAGAGGGUCUCGCUGCACCGGUGGUGGUCACACAGCAGAGAUGAACGACGAUGUAGACGUUGUAGAGGGUCUCGCUGCACCGGUGGUGGUCACACAGCAGAGAUGAACGACGAUGUAGACGUUGUAGAGGGUCUCGCUGCACCGGUGGAGGUCACGCAGCAGAGAUGAACGACGAUGUAGACGUUGUAGAGGGUUUCGCUGCACCGGUGGUGGUCACACAGCAGAGAUGAACGACGAUGUAGACGUUGUAGAGGGUCUCGCUGCACCGGUGGUGGUCACACAGCAGAGAUGAACGACGAUGUAGACGUUGUAGAGGGUCUCGCUGCACCGGUGGUGGUCACACAGCAGAGAUGAACGACGAUGUAGACGUUGUAGAGGGUCUCGCUGCACCGGUGGUGGUCACACAGCAGAGAUGAACGACGAUGUAGACGUUGUAGAGGGUCUCGCUGCACCGGUGGUGGUCACACAGCAGAGAUGAACGACGAUGUAGACGUUGUAGA